GAUGAACGCUAGCGACAGGCUUAACACAUGCAAGUCGAGGGGCAGCGAGAAAGUGCUUGCACUUUUGUCGGCGACCGGCGCACGGGUGAGUAACACGUAUGCAACCUGCCCUUGUCAGGGGGAUAAGCGGGGGAAACCCCGUCUAAUACCGCAUAUAUGAUUUGGAGGCAUCUUUAAAUCAGGAAAGAAUUAUCGGACAAGGAUGGGCAUGCGGGACAUUAGGUAGUUGGGGGUGUAACGGACCACCAAGCCGACGAUGUCUAGGGGUUCUGAGAGGAAGGUCCCCCACACUGGUACUGAGACACGGACCAGACUCCUACGGGCGGCAGCAGUGAGGAAUAUUGGUCAAUGGGCGAGAGCCUGAACCAGCCAAGUCGCGUGAGGGAAGACGGUACUAAGUAUUGUAAACCUCUUUUGUCAGGGAACAAAGAGACCACGUGUGGUAAGAUGAGUGUACCUGAAGAAAAAGCAUCGGCUAACUCCGUGCCAGCCGCCGCCGUAA
rnacentral:rRNA from 1 species